rnacentral:tRNA from 1 species
GGUAGCAUGCCAGAGUGGUUAAUGGGUAGGACUUGAAGAUCCAUAUCCUAUGGGUUCGCCCGCGCAGGUUCGAACCCUGCUGCUAUCG